rnacentral:rRNA from 1 species
UACGUAGGCAGCAAGCGUUGUUCGGAAUUACUGGGCGUAAAGGGUUCGUAGGGGGUCAACUAAGUCAGAGGUGAAAUCCCUCAGCUUAACUGGGGAACUGCGUCUGAGACUGGAUGGCUUGAGUGCAGGAGAGGAACGCGGAAUUCCAGGUGUAGCGGUGAAAUGCGUAGAUAUCCGGAGGAACACCGGUGGCGAAGGCGGCGUUCUGGACUGCUACUGACACUGAGGAACGAAAGCCAGGGGAGCAAACGGG